rnacentral:rRNA from 1 species
AUGCCUGAAGGUGCAGAAAGUGAGACUACCACUGUAUUCCUUAUGGAUUCACUGAAUUUGCAUGAUCCAAAAGCUACUUUUGAUCACACUCAAAGAUUCUUAAGAGAAAUGCUGGAUAUCCACAGUGCAAUCAUGAUGAAAGAAGUUGAGGUUCUACAUCAGGGAGACAAUGUGGACUGUGCUCUUUUUAGUUUGUAUAAUAUUCAGAAAAUCAUUACACAAGUCAGAGAUGAGCUUCUGCUGGAAGAAAUUAUUCAGGUUUUGUCUGCUAGACCAUUUUCUGGCCCAUAG